rnacentral:rRNA from 1 species
GGCCAGACUCCUACGGGAGGCAGCAGUGGGGGAUAUUGCACAAUGGGGGGAACCCUGAUGCAGCGACGCCGCGUGGGUGAAGGAGCGUUUCGGCGCGUAAAGCCCUAUCGGCAGGGAAGAAGGAGGACGGUACCUGACUAAGAAGCCCCGGCUAACUACGUGCCAGCAGCCGCGGGAAUACGUAGGGGGCAAGCGUUAUCCGGAUUUACUGGGUGUAAAGGGAGCGUAGACGGCUUGGCAAGCCAGAUGUGAAAGGCUGGGGCUCAACCCCAGGACUGCAUUUGGAACUGUCAUGCUAGAGUGUCGGAGAGGCAGGCGGAAUUCCUAGUGUAGCGGUGAAAUGCGUAGAUAUUAGGAGGAACACCAGUGGCGAGGGCGGCCUGCUGGACGAUGACUGACGUUGAGGCUCGAAAGCGUGGGGAGCAAACAGGAUUAGAUACCCUCGUAA